AAAAGAAACCAACAGGGAUUGCCCUAGUAACGGCGAGUGAAGCGGCAACAGCUCAAAUUUGAAAGCUGGCUCCGGCCCGCAUUGUAAUUUGCAGAGGAUGCUUUUGGUGAGGUGCCUUCCGAGUUCCCUGGAACGGGACGCCAUAGAGGGUGAGAGCCCCGUAUGGAUGGACACCAAACCUGUGUAAAGCUCCUUCAACGAGUCGAGUAGUUUGGGAAUGCUGCUCAAAAUGGGAGGUAAAUCUCUUCUAAAGCUAAAUACCGGCCAGAGACCGAUAGCGCACAAGUAGAGUGAUCGAAAGAUGAAAAGCACCUUGAAAAGGGGGUUAAACAGUACGUGAAAUUGUUAAAAGGGAAGCGCUUGUGACCAGACUUGCGCCGGGCAGCUCAUCAGGGGUUCUCCCCUGUGCACUCUGCCCGGCUCAGGCCAGCAUCGGUUCUCGUGGGAGGAUAAGAACAGUAGGAAUGUGGCCCCCUCUCGGGGGGGUGUUAUAGCCUAUUGUACGAUACUCUCGUGGGGACCGAGGUUCGCGCUCCGCAAGGAUGCUGGCGUAAUGGUCAUCAGCGACCC
rnacentral:rRNA from 1 species